UUUCGGUUUCAUGGUUAUUU
rnacentral:siRNA from 1 species